rnacentral:misc_RNA from 1 species
GAUGAAGAACGCAGCGAAAUGUGAUAAGUAAUGUGAAUUGCAGAAUCCAGUGAAUCAUCGAAUCUUUGAACGCACAUUGCGCCCGCCAGCAUUCUGGCGGGCAUGCCUGUUCGAGCGUCAUUUCAACCCUCGACCUCCCCUUGGGGAGGUCGGCGUUGGGGACCGGCAGCACACCGCCGGCCCUGAAAUGGAGUGGCGGCCCGUCUGCGGCGACCUCUGCGUAGUAAUACAGCUCGCACCGGAACCCCGACGCGGCCACGCCGUAAAACACCCAACUUCUGAACGUUGACCUCGAAUCAGGAAGGACUACCCGCUGAACUUAAGCAUAUCAAUAAGCGGAGGA